GGGAGGCCAGACUUCCUGAUCACAUGGUGCUGAAGUCAAUGAAAAAAAAUUAAGGGGGACCCCUCCCUUUCUGCGCGCGGCCGGGGCCAGGCCCCCGCCUCCCACCCGGCCCGCUGGGCUCCGUGCGGCGGGAGCGGCGCGCUCCAGGCCGAGGGCCAGGGGGCCGGAGAGAGAAAACAUAAACACGAGAUUGUUGCAGUAAUUGGUGGCUCUGAAAACACUGAGGAAAUGAGAGGCUUGUACGAAACAUCAGCCGACAAGAAACGGGGUGAUGUCAGACAGCCUUCCAGGAUUAGAAACCCUUAAAAGCUCCGAGCCCGCGGCCGCUGCGGAAAGGCGCUCGGCUCCCCGGGUGACUGUUCAGAGAGCCAUGUUCAAAUGUUCAGUAAGCCCAGGAGAACCAAGGACCCUUGAUUAGAGCCAAUGGCUGUAUGGGGAGCCAGCAGAGUUGUACUUUUGGCAAUUUUUACAGCAGAGAACAAACAAGAGCUGCCCAUUGCUUCAGCCCAUUCACCUCUGAGAAGGUCGUGAAGAAUGUUUUGGGAUAGGUAUUUUUCUCUCAACUCUGAAAAUGAAACUUCUAUUGUGUUUGGCUGUGGACACAUCUGCCAAGGCAGCUGCUCACAUUGCAUAACUGAUGCUUCUCACCAGCUAACUCUGGCCUUACCGUAGGCAGAGGACAUGACCAUUUUUCUUGCUCAAAGAUGAACUGUGGUGAUGAAAGUAGAUUCCUACCCCCCACCCACCCUCUUCCCCAUGAAGAGAAAAGUGGUCCCACCAUCUGUGCAGGGAUACAGUGAGAUAGAUGAUGGUGAUAGAAUGGAUCCUGGCUUCAUGGUGAAAGAGACUUGAGUUCCAAUUCAAACUUUCUCUCUGGAAUUCCUGAGCUUCUAUUUUCUCAUUGGUAAAGUGGAGACAAGAAUACAACUUGUCUCAUGGUGAGGAUUACAUAGGCAGAAUUUAUAUCAGGGCCCGGUAAUCAUAGUGGCAAACUAUUCUGUGAGAUAGACUUGGUGCAGGCAUGGCUGUGAGAACUUUAUUUAUAAACUCAUUUUGUUCUCACCACAAACCCCAUGAGCAGAUAUCAUUAUCCUUGCUUUGCAGAAGAGGAAGCUGAAGCAAGGAGAUUAUGUAACUUGCCCAAGGUCACAUAGUAAGUGAUGAACUGGGAUUCACUCUGGGGAGUCUGUGCUCUCAGCUACAACUUUCAUACUGCCUCUCACUACAAUAUUCAGUAAGCCUGUGCAGGAGAAUUUCCUCUAUUCCCCUUAUGCAAGUGAUGUUUUCUUAACAGAAAAAGAUCUGUCCUGUGAGAUUUAAGACAUGAAACUCAAAUGCAAUAAAUAAGAGUAGAAAUUUAUAAAGUCA
rnacentral:lncRNA from 1 species